UAGGGACUCUUCCGCAAUGGGCGAAAGCCUGACGGAGCAACGCCGCGUGAGUGAUGAAGGUCUUCGGAUCGUAAAACUCUGUUAUUAGGGAAGAACAAAUGUGUAAGUAACUAUGCACGUCUUGACGGUACCUAAUCAGAAAGCCACGGCUAACUACGUGCCAGCAGCCGCGGUAAUACGUAGGGGGCAAGCGUUAUCCGGAAUUAUUGGGCGUAAAGCGCGCGUAGGCGGUUUUUUAAGUCUGAUGUGAAAGCCCACGGCUCAACCGUGGAGGGUCAUUGGAAACUGGAAAACUUGAGUGCAGAAGAGGAAAGUGGAAUUCCAUGUGUAGCGGUGAAAUGCGCAGAGAUAUGGAGGAACACCAGUGGCGAAGGCGACUUUCUGGUCUGUAACUGACGCUGAUGUGCGAAAGCGUGGGGAUCAAACA
rnacentral:rRNA from 1 species